rnacentral:snoRNA from 1 species
UUGAAGGCUAUGAUGUUGAAAACUACCUAUUUUACGAGCUAAUGGAAAAUUGUUCCUUCGUGAUUAGAAAACUACCAAUGGAUCCUUCCGAGCCUUUA